UGGCGGACGGGUGAGUAACGCGUGGGUAACCUGCCUCACACUGGGGGACAACAGCUGGAAACGGCUGCUAAUACCGCAUAAGCGCACAGCUUCGCAUGAAGCGGUGUGAAAAACUCCGGUGGUGUGAGAUGGACCCGCGUCUGAUUAGCUAGUUGGUAAGGUAACGGCUUACCAAGGCGACGAUCAGUAGCCGACCUGAGAGGGUGACCGGCCACAUUGGGACUGAGACACGGCCCAAACUCCUACGGGAGGCAGCAUG
rnacentral:rRNA from 1 species